CCUACGGGAGGCAGCAGUGAGGAAUAUUGGUCAAUGGGCGCGAGCCUGAACCAGCCAAGUAGCGUGAAGGAUGACUGCCCUACGGGUUAUAAACUUCUUUUAUAAAGGAAUAAAGUGAGGCACGUGUGCCGUUUUGUAUGUACUUUAUGAAUAAGGAUCGGCUAACUCCGUGCCAGCAGCCGCGGUAAUACGUAGGGAGCGAGCGUUAUCCGGAUUUAUUGGGUUUAAAGGGAGCGUAGAUGGGUUGUUAAGUCAGUUGUGAAAGUUUGCGGCUCAACCGUAAAAUUGCAAUUGAUACUGGCAGUCUUGUGUACAGUUGAGGUAGGCGGACUUCGUGUUGUAGCGGU
rnacentral:rRNA from 1 species